AAGACUAUAGACCUGCGGAGUACCUGCGGAAGGAUCAUUAGCGAGUUUGCCGCCGCGAGGCGGCGCUCUCCCACACGAUGAUGGUUUGGCAGAUAUUUUUGCUUCGGCGGGACGCGUUGGUCUUAGGGACCACGCCAUCGGCCUCGUUUGAUGAGUGCCCGCCGGAGGCCCCCAACACGCUGGUUUGGUUAGUCUGAAGCAGAUAAAACAAAAAGCAAAAAACUUUUAACAAUGGAUCUC
rnacentral:misc_RNA from 1 species